rnacentral:snoRNA from 1 species
AUGAUGAGGAACAGUUAAAAUUUUAUGGUUAGAACACAUAUGAUUAACCGUGAUUAUCAAUUAACUAGGGCGGACUGACUCG